rnacentral:ribozyme from 1 species
UUCCCAGCAACUCCUAUCCCUACCUCCUCGUGGUACGGGCCGGAAACUGAGAGCAACCUUAGGGAAGAUCGGAUAACCAACUCCGAUGGGAACUUUGGUAAUGGGCUGACAGGGAAAG